rnacentral:lncRNA from 1 species
AAGUGCAGCCAGGCCAGCACAGAGUUAACUCCGUUUAUGCUAAUUUAACGGAGGGGACUUGAUUUAUACAAUUUUUACAACUUUAGAACUCAAUAGAUUCAUUUUUAAAACUGGGUACUAAACACAAAUUCACCUCUUAACAUGGGGACAAAGUCAACAUUUAAGCCUAAAAAAUAUAGAAAAGGUUUACAAAGAGUGUAAAAAGGGGGUACAAUAGGUGUAUAAAGAGUGUUCAACGGGUGUACACCCAUUCUACAUCUUUCUGCAAAAUACCUAGUAAGAUUGUGGAAGGGUGUACAAAGGGUAUACAAAGGAUAUAUAAAGGGUUUAGAAAAGGUGUAGAAAGGGUUUGGAAAUGGUGUACAAAGAUGUAGAAAGAUGUAGAAAGGAUGUACAAAGGGUGUAUAAAGGGUGUACAAAGGGUAUACACCCAUUCUACAUCUUUCUACAAAAUAUGUAGAAGAGUUGUAGAAGAGUGUACAAAUAAUAUACAAUGUUUAAAAAAGGGUAUAGAAAUGGUGUAGAAAGGGUGGAGGAAGGGUGUGCGAAGUGUGUACAAAUGGUGUAGAAAGGUUGUAGAAAAGGUGUAUAUAGGUUAUAAAAAUAGUGUAGAAAGUGUGUACAAAGGCUGUAUCAAGGGUGUACAAAGGGUGUACACCUAUUCUACAUCUUGCUACAAAAUAUG